rnacentral:rRNA from 1 species
AUACGAAGGGGGCUAGCGUUGUUCGGAAUUACUGGGCGUAAAGCGCGUGUAGGCGGAUCGUUAAGUCAGGGGUGAAAGCCCGGGGCUCAACCCCGGAACUGCCCUUGAUACUGGCGAUCUAGAGUCCGGAAGAGGUGGGCGGAAUUCCCGGUGUAGAGGUGAAAUUCGUAGAUAUCGGGAGGAACACUAGUGGCGAAGGCGGCUCACUGGUCCGGUACUGACGCUGAGACGCGAAAGCGUGGGGAGCAAACAGGAUUAGAAACCCUGGUAGUCC